GACGAACGCUGGCGGCAUGCCUAAUACAUGCAAGUCGAGCGAACAGAUGAAGUGCUUGCACUUCUGACGUUAGCGGCGAACGGGUGAGUAACACGUAGGGAAUCUACCUAUAAGCGGAGGAUAACAUUCGGAAACGGGUGCUAAUACCGCAUAAUAUCUUCUUCCGCAUGGAAGAAGAUUGAAAGACGGCUCUGCUGUCACUUAUAGAUGACCUUGCGGUGCAUUAGUUAGUUGGUGGGGUAAUGGCCUACCAAGACGAUGAUGCAUAGCCGACCUGAGAGGGUGAUCGGCCACAUUGGGACUGAGACACGGCCCAAACUCCUACGGGAGGCAGCAGUAGGGAAUCUCCCGCAAUGGGCGAAAGCCUGACGGAGCAAUGCCGCGUGAGUGAAGAAGGCCUUCGGGUCGUAAAACUCUGUUAUAAGAGAAGAACAAAUUGUAGAGUAACUGCUACAGUCUUGACGGUAUCUUAUCAGAAAGCCACGGCUAACUACGCGCCAGCAGCCGCCGUAA
rnacentral:rRNA from 1 species